GGAGAGAUGGCCGAGAGGCUGAAGGCGCACGCUUGGAAAGCGUGUGUCCUGGAAACGGGACCGGGGGUUCGAAUCCCUCUCUCUCCG
rfam:Candidatus Schekmanbacteria bacterium RBG_16_38_10 RBG_16_scaffold_22947, whole genome shotgun sequence.